rnacentral:rRNA from 1 species
UACGUAGGGAGCAAGCGUUGUCCGGAAUCAUUGGGCGUAAAGCGCGCGUAGGUGGCCUCAUAAGUCCGCUGUGAAAGUCAAAGGCUCAACCUUUGAAAGCCGGUGGAUACUGUGAGGCUAGAGUACGGAAGAGGCGAGUGGAAUUCCUGGUGUAGCGGUGGAAUGCGCAGAUAUCAGGAGGAACACCAAUAGCGAAGGCAGCUCGCUGGGACGUUACUGACACUGAGGCGCGAAAAGCGUGGGGGAGCGAACAGG